rnacentral:rRNA from 1 species
GUGGGGAAUCUUCCGCAAUGGACGAAAGUCUGACGGAGCAACGCCGCGUGAGUGAAGAAGGUUUUCGGAUCGUAAAGCUCUUUCGUUAGGGACGAACGUGCUCUUUGUGAAUAAUGAGGAGUAAUGACGGUACCUAAAUAAGAAGCCACGGCUAACUACGUGCCAGCAGCCGCGGUAAUACGUAGGUGGCAAGCGUUGUCCGGACUUAUUGGGCGUAAAGCGCGCGCAGGCGGGAUAUCAAGUCUGUCUUAAAAGUGCGAGGCUCAACCUCGUGAGGGGACAGAAACUGGUAUUCUUGAGUGUCGGAGAGGAAAGUGGAAUUCCAAGUGUAGCGGUGAAAUGCGUAGAGAUUUGGAAGAACACCAGUGGCGAAGGCGACUUUCUGGACGAUGUCUGACGCUGAGGCGCGAAAGCUAGGGGAGCGAACGGGAUUAGAAACCCUAGUAGUCC